rnacentral:lncRNA from 1 species
GUUCAACUUGAGUCGGCUUUUAUAGUGGAAAACUGAGAGAUAGUCGGUAGUCGAUAUUUUGGUUUUUGCAGUGAAAGCCAAAAUAUGCAUCGAAAUGAAGUCGAUUUUUUGGCUUUUACAGUGAAAGCCUGCAUUCUUAAUGUCGAUUUAAAAUCACAGUCGGGAUGUCGAUUUUUGUAAGAAGAUCGAAAUAUAGUUGACACUAAAGCAAUUGAUUUUCUGACUUUUACAGUGAAAGCCAAAGCAUAAUUGGAGUCGAUUUUUACAGUGGAAGAUCAAAGUAUGUUCUGUACCGAGACAGUCAAUAGUUUGGCUUUUACAGUGAAAGCCAAAAUAUAGUCGGUUGUUGCCCAGCUAUGCAACCCAAGAGGGGGGGGGGGUGAAUUGGAUUUCUAAAAAUUUUAAGCUUAACUUAUGACUUAUGAAAAAUGAUUGACAAUAGCUAAAUAAAUAGG